UUGGAAUGGAUAUAUCUAAUAAAACAACAAAAAAGAAAGGCAAGAAACAAACGUUAGUAAAUACAAUUAGUAAAUCAAACAAUGAAAUUGCACUAAUGGUAAAAACCAAACAACAAUAAAAUCAAAAUAAAGUUGACCAAAAAAUUGUAAUAAACAUUGAAAAAUAAAAACAAAAGCAUUGUCUCAAAUCCAGCGCCAUCUUAUCGGUCAAAAGGGUUACAUAAUGACUUUUAAUUGAACCCUUUUAACGUAAGAUGGCAACAGUAAAAGGUUAUUUUUCAGCCAUAUUGUCAUCUGAAUAAUCUUAAUCUAGAGUAACUUAAAGACAGUGGAAAUUAUUGCCAGAUUAAAUCCGAUUAUAUCAAGUUAUUUUUUAUCCUCUUAUCAAGUGACCUGAUUCUGUGAAUAAGAUAUCUUAAAGUAUUUCAAUACAAUGAAUGAUUUGUGAUUCGGACUGUCAAAGAUGAAGGAAAUUUUUCUCCCUUCUCAUGUAAUGUGUUUGUUUCACGGAUAAUCGCUACUUUUCUCACCCGAUAUGAAUUGUGCUUUAUCAAACAGUGAUUCUGAUAUGGAGACUACUUCUGGAUAACCAAGGCAGAGAGAAAGAGAUUGUUGAUUUAUCAACAGGUAAAAAAGAGUGAGGGAGUAAAAAGUAACCACUUGAGAAGAUGUCAACAAGCGAAAAGAUGAUUAACUAAUGCAGAGUCGACAAAAAAAGAUGAACUCUCGUUUGGGCCUGGAAGAGCUUCUUGUCAUCCGAGAAAGUCGCUUCUCAAGGGAACUAGCUGCACCACGACUCAGAGUCAAGGAAAGUGGAUUAUAAAAGUUUG